rnacentral:misc_RNA from 1 species
GAUGAAGAACGUAGCAAAAUGCGAUACUUGGUGUGAAUUGCAGAAUCCCGUGAACCAUCGAGUUUUUGAACGCAAGUUGCGCCCGAAGCGUUUUGGCCGAGGGCACGUCUGCCCGGGCGUCACGCAUCGCGUCGCCCCCCACAAUUCUCCGUAAAGGGAACAUGUGUUUUGGGGGCGGAUAUUGGUCUCCCGUGCUCAUGGCGUGGUUGGCCGAAAUAGGAGUCCUUUCGAUGGACGCACGAACUAGUGGUGGUCGUAAAAACCCUCGUCUUUUGUUUCGUGCUGUUGCUCGCAAGGUAAACUCUUUAAAAACCCCAAUGUGUCGUCUCUUGACGACGCUUCGACCGCGACCCCAGGUCAGGCGGGACUACCCGCUGAGUUUAAGCAUAUCAAUAAGCGGAGGA